GGAAAUAAGCAGCACCCAGCCCUGCUCUCCUGGGUGGCUCAUCCCUUUCCUGGUAUCUGGCCCACGUGCCGCCUCUUCUCGCCUCUUGCAGUCUGAUCUCCAUGCCGCUGCCUGACCAGUCAAUAUUUUAUUGCAAAUAUUAGGCCACAUCACCGCUUUGCUUAAAAUCCAUCCAUAGCUCUUCGUCGCACAGAGGGGAGGGAGCCCCGGCUUUCAGCAUGGCCCCAGGUCCUCCAUGAGCUGGCGGCUGCACUCGGGCUGAUUUCCCACGUGGCCACUGCGUUUGCGGCUCGGGGAUGCCUCUGAUUUCCUGAGCAGGCCGAGCGCUGGCUAGCCGCAGGAUCUCCAGCUCAGACUCUCCAGCUCACUGCUGCCGGAAUGCCGUCUCCCCUCUGCUUCACCUGGCAAGCUCGUCUUCUGCCUUCAGGAAGCUCACCCCCUCCAAGAAGCCCGCCCUGAUCACCUCAUGAGAAUUAAUUCCCACCCCACCCCACUAUCCACCCUUCUGUCACGGCCGUGUUCUCUCCCCUCUGCGCUUUCUCCCCUUCGGAAACUCUCUGGCCGUCGUUCAAGACGAUUCUCCACCAGCAUGUAAGCUCUGUGAGGACCAGGACGGGGUUUUAGUUACAACCGAAUUCCUGCAGCUCAGGACGAUGCCUCGCACCCAGUUGACAGUGUGCAGAGCACAUACUCGUGGAGCGGCUGCUGUGUUUGCACACCGCGUGUGACGUACAUUUACGGUUGAGUGUGGACAAGAGCAUGUGUGUGCCAGAGGGCUGCCAGCACACACAAACGCCGGCCGACCUGGUCGUUAGCCGGUUCAUCCCAAAAUUAGCCAGGAAGUUGUAUUAUUAAGAAUGUCAUCAUUUGUUCCCCCCAAAAACACUUAUUGAGCCUCUCCUGGAUGUCAGGCACUGUUCUAAGUAAUAGGACAUCGUUUUGAUGAGAGGCCCAUUUUCACCUUUAGAGAAGCUGUAUUUCGGCAUCAACGCGUGAUCAGCCACAUGCUGUAUUUAUACUGUAUUCUAAAAGGGUUGUUUCCAUACCUAAAGGUAGUAAUAACUACAGGUCUUCCGUGGGGCUAAUUCAGAAAUAAGUAGUAUUUUGGUAGUUUUCCAAGCGCUGACAAUUAACUCAGCCUCUCUCACGGGCGUGAGAUUGUUUCAUUUAGACAUUAGCAAGGGUUUUAGUCAACACACCCGGACGAGGGCUGUCUAUGCAAUUAUGUUCCGACGUGGUCCUCGAGGUUAGUUCUACCCAGGACCAACCGCAGCCAGGACCACACCACAGAGAGGGCAUUUCGGGUCUUUUAUGAGCGAGCUGGGAUCGUGCAGUAACUCCUGGCUGGGUCUUUGUAUUUGGGGAAAGACAGUUGCCCUCUCAGAGGUCAAUUUCCAAGGUCACGGGUGUUGCGUCUCGCAUGGCUCCCCCAGACCCGUGUGCAGAGUGCGCAGCCUCCCAAGAACAAGGGGGCGUCUGUGACGGUGCUGGUGUCCUUUCUGCGGCUCCCCAGUAAAUCUCUUAUGACCAGCAACUUAGUUCAGACCAGCGCCUGGGUGUGGACUUGAACCUGGGCCAGAACUCUGGCCUCACCUCGAAGAAGCCCUGCGACCUUGGAUAGGUCACCUCCCCGUUGCAGGUGACCUAAGGGCCAUCUGGUUGACCGCGCUGUGGGCGACUCCCACCAACCUCCUCUUCUCUAAUUCGAGAGGCCCGAUGCGUUUGCCAUCUGUGCUCAUUUAUUUUCCAGCGACGUCGCGGUUUUGACCUCUCAGACUCCCCUCUGUUCCGUUGGCCUUAAACGCCGUGUAAAGAGGGAUGUUUCUCUUUGAGUCCCCUCCACGUCGAGACCGUGGGGGGCAGGUGCCCAGAGCUUCGUGUGUUCGGGAGCGAGACCUGGGCUCUGGCGUGAGCGACGGGUCCCUGUAAUCGCCCUGCUGCCGAGAUGACGCUCAGAGGAGAGGGGGCCCCAUGAAAGGGGGGAGGGGUGCUGGCAGGACAACAGCCCAUCUCCCACGCAUUCGCUUAGCGAAGUCGGGGCUGGGCCUGCAGCCCGCAACCACCGAGGGAGGGGAGGGAGCCGGAGACACGAGGUCCGAGUCAGGGUCACCAUUUCUUUAACCUUUUUAAAGUACAUACUAGAUUUUCACGGUAGAAAAGGUGAGAAAAUGAAAGGAAAUCAUCCAUCAGCCCAGUAUCCAGGCGAAACUGCUCUUCUGUGGCUCCUUUUCUGCUUGGUCUUAGUGGACCGGCGGUGGACAGCCGUGUUCCCAUCGAGCGCCACGUGCUUGUCGCGUGCGUCCCUUCCCCGCGGCGGGCGCUGCCGGCUCUGCGGUCUGUACGCUACCCACCCUCGGGCGGUGGGGCGCUCGACUCCCUAGUAAACCGUGUCAUAAAUUCACAUCAUUGUUUUAAGUGGCUGGAUCCACUCUCAGGAGGAAACGGCGACAUGACCAGUCCCUCGUGACGGAUGUUCGUGUCCCGCUGAGGCUGCCGUGGAGACAGCCCGGCAUCUAGGACAUUCUUGGACCAAAGUUAGGCCUGACACGUGUGUGAGUUAAUCCAAUUGCAAGGCAAGCAUCUCAGGGAGCGCUUGUCCUGCGGGCCCUCCCGUGGGCGGCACUCCCCGUGGCCAGGCCCAAGGACACGGGUUUUUCGGCCCCACCCUGUGAAAGGGGCUUUGCCGCAUGAACAUACAAAUGCAAUUGCUAAUAAAACAAGGCCAACCCUUCCUCGUGCUCUGCAUUAAGAAGAAGGAAGCUUAGUUCCCCAAAUGGGCCGCUUCAGCAGAGUCUCAAAGGGUGACCAGGGCACACUUUUGUGAGUCGAUUUCUGAGUGAUUUAUAGGGUUCGGGGUUAUAAAGAUAAAUCCGCAAGGUGAUUCUCAAAGCAGCUUACAAACGCCUAUCUGAUGCUCUUAGUUUUAUGCCCUUUUCUCUCACUUAUCAAAACCCGUCCUUAAGCGCCCCUGAUGCAGCAGAUAAGUUGUUUUCUGGUUUUCCAGAUUAGGGAGACGUAGGGCGGAAGCGCCUGUGACGUGUUCAAGGUCGCAGUCAAGGGAAGAAGGACAGCGCUGCUGUGGAGAGAGCUUCAGGAGGGCCUGGGUCAACAGCUGGCCUUGGGGGUGCAUGGAGGGGCCGGGUGUGGCCGGAAGGCCGUUGAUCAGAGGGUCUCAAACUGAAGAGGUUUGCAGAAUGCGAAUCAACGCAGCGUCCCCCUUGUGAUGAAACGGGGCACGGCACGGGGAUUUGGCUCGACCCGAAACCAACUGCGUUCCGUCCACGCCGGAGGCGAGACUGCCUCAUCCUUUAACCCUCUCCUGAUGCGCCCACAUGCGGCGACCCCAGGGCACGUGGCUGUGGGAAGAUGCAUGGGCGUGAAUGAAACAGGGUCACCCCCACCACGAGUUUCUGAGUCAGCAGGUCUUUGUGGGACCAAAACUGUGCAUCUAACAAGUUCCCGGGGCUGGCGCUCGUGAGGUCGCUUUGAGAACCCCUUCCUCAGAAGCCGUCGGCCUGUUAGGUGCCGUGAAGAGUGAGUGAGACAGGGCUCGGGAGCUGCAAACUGUUAGAUCUAGAGUGGCUAAGCCAGGAGGUCCUACCGUGCAGCACAGGGAGCUCUAUGCAGUCUCCUCUGAGGAUAGAUCAGGAUGGAAGAUCACAUGAGAAAAGGCAUAUAUACGUGUACACACACACACACGUGCACACACACGUGCACACACACGUGUGCACACACACGUGCAUACACACAUGCGCACACGCACACGUGCACACAUGUGCGCGCGCGUACACACACACACACUAUACAUGUGACUGGGUCGCUUUGCUCUACAGCAGCAAUUGGCACAACAUUGUAAAUCAACUAUAAUUAAAAAAAAUUUUAAUGAUAAAACAAAGAAUUAGUGAAACAGUAUGUGCGGGAGCUCCGAGCACAGGGCCGAGCCGCAGCGGGAAGAUGGACUCUCAAAUCGUGUUGGACAAGAGCCUGGAGACCCCCGUCCUUAAAAACUGGCGAGAAGAGCACAGCCACCUCCCUGCCAAGGGGCGUGUCCCCUGCUCUCACGGGGCGGGGGGGGGGGGCCUGGCUUCCGAGGCCCCGGUCCUGGGGGCCCAAGUGGGGGGUCAGCUCUCCUGGUACACCCCCCGCCGGAACAGGACAGCUGCAGAGGGUGGGACUUGCCAAGCCCGCCGUGGGGGGACCUGUCGGGAGACUGGAAGUGGAGGAAGCGGGGGCCACGUGGGAUCUGGAGCCACGGGGGAGCCGAGGAGGAGAUCCUGACAGGCGCCCUCCCCAGGGCGGUGGUGCUGAGUCUCAGCCUCCGUCUCCAUGGAAACCGCGGGGUGACAUGUUCACAGGGUUGAAAGAAAAAUCCUGCCAUCCCAGAAUUCUGUAUCCAGCAAAAGUGUCCUUCAAAAGUUAAGGGAAAUAAAGACUUUCUCAGACAAUCCAAAACGGGGGCAUGUGUCACCAGUCAUCCUUCCUCGUCGGAAAUGCUCUAGGAAGCUCUUCCCUUCCGAGCAGAGGAGAAUGGAGGGUUACAGGCCAGCACGGAGACCAGGGAAGGAGCCGAGGGAGGGGCAGUGCCGUCUUUCGCCUCCUCAUCAUGACGUUUUGCUCCAGGAGGAAACUUUAUUCCAGGCAGUAAGAGCAACAAGUCAGUCCUGCUUCCCGGCAGGGUCUUUUUUCAACCCUGAUGGCUGCCAGCAUCUAAAGAUCAGGCUGCCUCGCCACCGGCCACAGCCGCCAGGAGGCCACUGAGGGCCUGGCUGGUCUCCCAGCAGCCCUCGCCCAGACGGCUGGGGCCUGCUUCCUUUCCUCCUCCAAACUGCCUCCGAGAACAGGUUCUAAACACCCGAAAGAAAAUUCCACAAGUUCUAAGGUCCUUUCAGCAGAGAGGUGCCAGAAAGCAGCCAUGGGGGGAGGGCCAGGUCCCCUGCUGACCUGAGCCGCUGGCCAUGGCCCCAGGAGAGCGAGAGGGAGCCAGGCUGCCCCACCCCGGCCUCGCCCGCAGGGGCCAGGGCAGCGUGAUGGGGCGGGAAAGCCCAGGUCCUCAGCCCUGGGUUUUGAUUCGGGUGUGGACACGAGCGCCCCGCCAGACUCACGGCCUGGAGGGAGGGACACGUGGCCACAUGACCUAAGUUCUGUAUCAGGACAAAACAGAGCCUUUUAUGGGGCUUCGGUCAGCCUGGCUCCUGCCCUGUUUCUCUGUCCCCUUCCUGAGAGUCAGGGUCGGGCCCGAAGGAAAUGCCGCUUUAGUGGCUGCAGAAGGACCAGCGGUCGUCGCCGCAUACAUUGAGGGGGUGAGGCGCUGUCCCCACGGCGGGUCCGUACGCGAGCCUUCUGCGCAUGCAGUUGUCACGGAGCUGUGCUGACACAAAACACACUCCUGCUUCGGGGCCGGACGGACCGCGUUUGAAGGUCAACCAACAGCUGGUGAAACCGGCCAGGCCUUUGACGGGGCACCGAGGGGUGGGUACGCCUUCUGUUCACUCCCACGAAAAGAUGCAAUUUGUGCUGCUGCGCCGCAGUUUACCUGGGACCAGCUCUUACCGGAAACCGGAGGACGUGGGGCCUCUCUCUGCUCUCUGUGCAACUUCCUGGGAAUCUCUAAUUAUCUCAGGGUUAAAACUAUUUUUAAAAGGAUCGACUAUUAGGAGUUCCCGUUGUGGCGCAGUGGUUGACGCAUCCGACUGGGAACGAUGAGGUUGCGGGUUCGAUCCCUGGCCUUGCUCAGUGGGUCAAGGAUCCGGCGUUGCCGUGAGCUGUGGCGUGGGUUGCAGACGCAGCUCGGAUCCCGCGUUGCUGUGGCUCCGGCAUAGGCUGGUAGCUGCAGCUCGGAUUAGACCCCUAGCCUGGGAACCGCCAUAUGCCGCGGGAGCGGCUCAAGAAAAGGCAAAAAGACAAAAAAAAUAAAAAA
rnacentral:lncRNA from 1 species